rnacentral:rRNA from 1 species
UUUUACUUAAUUAUAUUUUUUAAUUUGUUAAAAAAUUAUUUUUUUUAUUUUGAAAAAAUUUUUAUUAUUAUAGUUUAUUAGUACUUUAAAGGAAUUUUGAAAUAAGUUGAAAAAUUUAAAAUUAUAAAAGAAAGAUUAAUUUUUUGUACCUUGUGUAUCAGGGUUGAUUAAUUAAAUAUUAAGAAUUUAUUUUUUUCGAAUUAUAAUGAGCUAUUAAAAUAUUUAUUUUAUUGUUAUAUAAAUAUUUAAAAUAUUUUGUUAGGGGUGAAAUGUCAAUCGUAUUAUAAUAUAUCUAGUUCUUUAAGAAAGAAAUUAAAUUUCUAAAAUUUUAUUAUUAUAAUUAUUUUUUAAUUUUGAUAAUAAAUUUUUAUAUAAAUUGUGGGAUAAGCUUCAAUUUUUAUAGUUAAAAAUUGAUUUUUUAAAAGUGUACGGUAGAAUUAAAAAUUUUCAUCUUCAAGUAUGUUACAAUUUAGUAUUUUUAAAAAAAAAUUUCUUUUUGUUUUAGUUAUUUUAUUAAAGUAAAUUAAUGAAUUUUUAUUAAUUUAAAUAAUGAUUAAAUUAGUAUAAUUUUAUUUAUUAUUAAUUAAUUCUUUUAAUUAAUAGUUAAGGAACUCGGCAAGAUUAAUUUUUCGCCUGUUUACUAAAAACAUGUCUUUUUGAUUAUUUUUUAAAGUCUAAUCUGCCCAAUGAUAAGGUUUAAAUGGCCGCGAUAUUUUGAUCGUGCAAAGGUAGCAUAAUCAUUAGUUUUUUUAUUGAAAGCUGGAAUGAAGGAUUGAACGAGAAAAUUACUGUCUCUAUUGUUUUAUUAGAAUUUAAUAUUUAAGUGAAAAAGCUUAAAUAAUUAAAAAAGACGAGAAGACCCUAUAGAUCUUUAUAUUAGUUUAAUUUAUUUAUUUAGAAUAAAUAUUUAUAAAUUUAUUUUAAUAUUUGGUUGGGGUGACAGGUAAAUUAAUUUAACUUUACUUAAUAUGAAUAUUAAUUUAUAGGUUAUUGAUUUAUUUAUUAUAAUUAUAAGAUUAAGUUACCUUAGGGAUAACAGCGUUAUUUCUUUUGAGAGUUCUUAUCGAAAGAGAAUUUUGCGACCUCGAUGUUGGAUUAAAGUUAAUGUGUGGCGCAGAAGUUACAUUUUUUAGUCUGUUCGACUAUUAAAACUUUACAUGAUCUGAGUUUAAACCGGCGUGAGCCAGGUUGGUUUCUAUCUUUUUACAGUUAACAUUUUUUAGUACGAAAGGACUUAAAAUGUAUUAUAUUAAUUUGUUUUAGAAUCAUAUU